UGAGUCAGUUGUUCGCUGUAUUUUGUGUAAGGCAGUCGAAUAUAGUUUUUGGCAAGAGCUAAAAGUCGUUUUCUUUAGUAACGUUAUAACCAAUACUCAAUGGACCUUGGGUACAACAUUGGUGCCACUUCACUACAGAGUCUAAGAAGCUUAUAGAAGAAUCAGAAAAGUAGUUUAGGAGAUGGUUCUGCAACGUUGAUAAGAUUCGGAUUCAUUCUUAUGUAUAGGCGAGCUUCUAGCGCACCCUGACGUUAGAAGAACUUGAUGCGCACUGAAAUCAACGAUUUUCGACCGGAGCACAACCCCGGAGCGCUUUUCCAACUCCGCCCCGCGAUUAGUCUCCCACCAAGUCCUUCUAAGCCCAAGCGACCAAUGCUGAAUUAGAAUCCGGGACGUAGACGCCCAAUGGUUUCAGUUAUCUAACACCUGAUACCUGAAAGCUCGAUGAUUGGGUUAGAUUCAACGUGAAAUUGCGUUGGGAACUUGCGCAAAAGAGCUUUUUUUUUGAUGAAUUGAAAUCAAUGGGUUUUGAUUACAUAAGAAUUUUUUUUUGACAAACUUAAAAAAAAGUAAAAAAGGUGUUUUGAAGUUGAGUCAAGAAAAUUUGCACAAUAAAAUUGAUUUUUAUACCACGA